rnacentral:rRNA from 1 species
GACGAACGCUGGCGGCGUGCCUAAUACAUGCAAGUCGAACGCAGUGGGGACGGGUGCGUAACACGUGGGUAACCUCCCAUCAGAGGGGAUAACACUUGGAAACAGGUGCUAAACCGAUACUGAUGGAUGGACCCGCGGUGCAUUAGCUAGUUGGUGAGGGAACGGCUCACCAAGGCCACGAUGCAUAGCCGACCUGAGAGGGUGAGCGGCCACACUGGGACUGAGACACGGCCCAUACUCCUACGGGAGGCAGCAGGAGGGAAUCUGCGGCAAUGGACGAAAGUCUGACCGAGCAAUGCCGCGUGAGUGAAGAAGGUUGUCGGAUCGUAAACCUCUGUCUGUAGAGAAGCGGUAUAUAACCAGAAAGCCACGGCUAACUACGUGCCAGCAGCCGCGGUAAUUC